GAUGAACGCUAGCGGCAGGCUUAACACAUGCAAGUCGAGGGGUAUAGGUUUUCGGACCUAGAGACCGGCGCACGGGUGCGUAACGCGUAUGCAAUCUACCUUUCACAAAGGGAUAGCCCAGAGAAAUUUGGAUUAAUACCUUAUAGUAAUACGACUUGGCAUCAAGAUGUAUUUAAAGAUUUAUCGGUGAAAGAUGAGCAUGCGUCCCAUUAGCUUGUUGGUAAGGUAACGGCUUACCAAGGCAACGAUGGGUAGGGGUCCUGAGAGGGAGAUCCCCCACACUGGUACUGAGACACGGACCAGACUCCUACGGGAGGCAGCAGUGAGGAAUAUUGGACAAUGGGCGCAAGCCUGAUCCAGCCAUGCCGCGUGCAGGAAGAAGGCCUUCGGGUUGUAAACGUGCUUUGUACGGAGCGAAAGGUCUUCCCUAACUACGGAGGCGUGAUGACGGUACCGUAAGAAUAAGCACCGGCUACUACGUG
rnacentral:rRNA from 1 species